rnacentral:misc_RNA from 1 species
GGAAGUUCUGAAAGGCAUUCCCUGUAGAAUAACACAGAAGAACUUUUGUCAAACAAACGAAAAGGAUCAAGAAUUUCAGAGAGGUUGGCAUUAAAACUUGUGAAGCAACUAUUAACAAUCAUGCUUCUGGCAUAAAAGCAGAAAAAUCAAUUGUGAUAGACAAGCAGAAUGCAGAUAGUUGGGACCUGGGAGUAUUGAAACAUUGGGAUGAGUUACCGUCUAAAACGGAAACAAUACUAAAACACAAGCUUACUACCGGAGUGCUCAACAUAGCACUUUAAGCAAAUGACACUGUUAAUAUCACUGCUCAUGUUCGUGUCAGUCACCAUCCAGGAUUAUCUGCUUUCAAUGAUAUCUAUCCUGAGUGUCAGAGACAUAGGGAUUGUUUUAUGAUCAUCUUUCCUCUGUUUUAUGUCGCAACAACUUGUUCCUGCUCAAAUUAUUCUACUUAUUCUAAAGGAACACUCGAGUUCAUAAGAAGAGAAAGAAAACAAUUUUGAAAACACCUAUGUACAGAAACUCUCUUCAUAAAGUAUUUUGGAUUUGUAAUUUUUGAGAAGAAUUCUUGGUAGGCAUUUAGUUCGAUAUUAAAUAAAUCCAUGCAUAUGAUUGCAGAUACACAUCUCAGACCAGAAACUCUAAGGCCUUUGAUAUCAAUGAUUCCAUAUGCACUUAAAACCAAGCAGGAUUUCUCUGAAACUCUUAACUACAUUAGGGUGAUGCAUUUCUAAUCAUGCUGAACACUUGAGAGUUGAAAAAACAUAAGCUCUUCU